rnacentral:rRNA from 1 species
CCUACGGGAGGCAGCAGUGAGGAAUAUUGGUCAAUGGGCGCGAGCCUGAACCAGCCAAGUAGCGUGAAGGAUGACUGCCCUACGGGUUGUAAACUUCUUUUAUAAAGGAAUAAAGUGAGGCACGUGUGCCUUUUUGUAUGUACUUUAUCAAUAAGGAUCGGCUAACUCCGUGCCAUCAGCCGCGGUAAUACGGAGGAUCCGAGCGUUAUCCGGAUUUAUUGGGUUUAAAGGGAGCGUAGAUGGGUUGUUAAGUCAGUUGUGAAAGUUUGCGGCUCAACCGUAAAAGUGCAAUUGAUACUGGCAGUCUUGAGUACAGUUGAGGUAGGCGGAAUUCGUGGUGUAGCGGUGAAAUGCUUAGAUAUCACGAAGAACUCCGAUUGCGAAGGCAGCUUACUAAACUGCCACUGACAUUGAUGCUCGAAAGUGUGGGUAUCAAACAGGAUUAGAUACCCGAGUAGUC